AUGCAAGACUAUUUCGCGGAGAAUCCAACGUAUCCACCGCACCUCUUCCGGAGAAGGUACCGAAUGCGCCGAUCCCUCUUUGUGAAAAUUGUUCAAACUUGCGAGGCAAAUUGUCGGUAUUUUACUCAACGAAGAAAUGUUGGACAAUAA
rnacentral:rRNA from 1 species